GAAUUGCUGCAGUGGAAGGCAGAGAAUGCUGUGCCUGACAAAGGAUCUGAGAAGCUACUGAAAAUAUUGAAGAAGAAGCUUCCAAAGGAUAACGAAUUGCCCGACAGUACAUAUGCAGCAAAGAAGGUCAUAUUCCCUCUAGGAUUGGAGGUGCAGAAGAUACAUGCAUGCCCUAAUGACUGCAUCCUCUACCGCGGUGCGUAUAAGGAUCUGAACGCAUGCCCAGUAUGCGGUGCGUUACGGUAUAAGAUCAGACGAGAUGACCCUGGUGAUGUUGAUGGCGAGCCCCCCAGGAAGAGGGUUCCUUCAAAGGUGAUGUGGUAUGCUCCUAUAAUACCACGGUUCAAACGUCUGUUCAGAAACGGAGAGCAUGCCAAGUUGAUGCGAUGGCACAGUGAGGACCGUAAGAAAGACGAGAAGUUGAGAGCACCCGCUGACGGGUCGCAGUGGAGAAAAAUCGAGAGAAAGUACUGGGAUGAGUUUGCAAGUGACCCAAGGAACGUAUGGUUUGCUUUAAGCGCAGAUGGCAUUAAUCCUUUCGGGGAGCAGAGCAGCAAUCACAACACCUGGCCCGUGACUCUAUGUAUGUAUAACCUUCCUCCUUGGAUGUGCAUGAAGCGGAAGUUCAUUAUGAUGUCAGUUCUCAUUCAAGGUCCUAAGCAACCCGGCAACGACAUUGAUGUGUACCUA
rnacentral:rRNA from 1 species